UACAGAGGUCCCGAGCGUUGUUCGGAUUCACUGGGCGUAAAGGGUGCGCAGGUGGUUUGGCAAGUUUGAUGUGAAAGCCCCGGGCUUAACCCGGGAAUGGCAUUGAAUACUGCUUGAACUGGAGGGUUGGAGGGGGGACUGGAAUUCUUGGUGUAGCAGUGAAAUGCGUAGAUAUCAAGAGGAACACCAGUGGCGAAGGCGAGUCCCUGGACAAACCCUGACACUGAGGCACGAAAGCCAAGGGAGCAAACAGG
rnacentral:rRNA from 1 species